GAUGAAUAGGAUUUCAGGGGAACAGCUAAGCAAAAGAAGAAGAGAUUGCUCUCCUGGCUGAUACAAAAUCAUAUGGAGACUGGAAAGACUCUGAGCCCCUGCACAUCCCUUCUCCUGGCUCUUCACUACAGAGGGCUUGAGGCUUCUCCUCUCCUUGGUUCUUCCAAGGUCCAACCUAUGAAAACAAAAGUGAAAUUUUGAGUUAUAAAUACAGUCACCAAAAUGUAAAUGACUAGAAAUAGCCACUCUUGAGUCUUACUGACACACAUACAGAAAAUAUGUGACAUCUCCCUGGUGACUCAAGGCAGUGUGAACAGCAGCAGCAGCGGGCUUGAUAGUGAUGCUUUACAUGCCUUUGGCACAAGCACCUCCCUGGAACUUAGCUAGGCGUCUGUAGCUAAUCUUCAGCCACAGGACCUUCUGGCAUCUUCCAUGGCCUACCUGUCAGUUUGAAGAUUGACAGCAGCUUGGGGCCCUCACCCAGACGAGCAGCAAAAGAGGAAAAUAAUGAGUAAUUCAUGAAAGAGUCACCAUCAAGGGACUCUUGGGACUAUUUGAGAGAAACCUGGGCUGGGGGGAGGGGAGUGCUGGAGCCCUACAGAGCAGCAGGGGGCAGUGCCAGAGAAAUAUUAUUUUGUGGCUGUUCCCACAAUUCUAAGCCACAGCAAAAUGGAUGGUUUCCCUUUAUUGUUUUGUUGCAUUCAGACAAUCUGGACUAAGAUGGCUGGUUCCUGAGGAGGAGUUUGGAAGUAAAGAGGAAUGGUGAUUUGGGACUCAUAAAGACAUCCCAAAAGUGGGGGUUGGGAGAGCAGGAUAGCAGAGACCUGACACUGGCAAUGCAGGGCUCUCAGUGGAGUGUCCUGGCAGACUGUGAGGGCAGGGAGGAAUCUGUUGUUUGACAGCAGUGAAGGGGGCAAGACCCCUUUUAUUGUAAUUAUCCAGUGGCUGACAAAGGAAGGUUUUCUUGACUCAUGUGAACCCAGGAAAUAGGGCCUUCGAGUCCUUUGCCUGGCGUGGCAGGGCAGUGGCACAGGUUCUGCACAAGGCAGGAAAAUGGGACCUGAUGCCACUGCCUGUCACAUCCGUGCUAAAGAAAGGCACAAUGCUCAAGGCCCAUCGCACGUGAUGCCCAUUUCUGCACCAUUACUACCCACCCCUCCUAUACCCUGCAAGACUCAUGGGAUGGACCUUUUAGGGAAUAAAAAAAAAGGAAAGAAAAACUGUAAACAUUCACAAGGCAUAGAGAGACUGAAUCCCAAAGUGCACACAAAUACCAUUAAUACCCCCAGCUCCCAAAUCUCCCCCAGGCCAGUCUUCCUGGCCUCCCAAGACCAGAGAGAAGUGGCCUCUCUCAAUGUGAAAUGAUCUCUAAAUGCCAAGAGGUGUUUUUGAAUAGAAUCAUGCAAAACUUAAAAGGGUCCUCAUGAAACAGAUGAAGAUGAUGGAUACAACAGUACCGCCUGCAGUCAAACCCUCUCAACCUGCAAGAGGAGCCUCUGGCUAAAGGUUUCUCUUCAUGGAUUGCUUUGUGCUCCUCCUCCUGCAAGACAGUGAGUCUCCACAGGCCCAUGAAUGUCAUAAGUGAGUGCAAGCUUGAGGAAGCACCUAUCCUGUGCUCAGAACAAAAUAUCUGUGGUCCAGAGCAGAGCUCCCAACCCAGCUACUAUGAACCACGCUAGGCCCCAGAAAAGAAAGGAAAACAGAAGAGACAUUGGAUUGGAUCUUCCAGAAGGUCUUUGUUGCAAUUUUUCUCCAUCAUUGAAAAAAAAAUUACAUCAUCAAAUAAAGACAAUAGCAGCACAGCUUA